UGCCAGCUUUUUCAAGUCUUGUUGGCAGGGUCAAGAUCUGCAGAAUUGGGAUCACAGCCCAUGCUUCUGCAGAGUCUUCAGGUGAAGCUGGUGCUGUCAGACACCGGAGAGCUUUGCAGUUCAUGUGUGCAUAUCUACUUGCCAACCUUGUGUUAGGGUGAUGGACAAAAGAUGGCUUCUAUAAACUGCCGAGGAAAAAAACUCCGUUGUUCCAUCCUGCAUGCUCCAUCAGAAAUUUUAUAAAGUCAAGCAUCUCAUACAAAAGUGACAAGGAAUUCAACAAGGGCAGGACAGUAACCAAGUGUGUGAAAGAGAAAGGAUGUUGUUGACACAAUAAAAAUGGAUGAA